CAAAAAACAACUCUUAGAUGUGACUGUCCAGAAGACACUUUCAUACUUCUCUCUAAAGCAAACAAAAACAAACAAACAAACAAACAAAAAAUUUGAACAAAACUAUUCAAAUGGGAAAAUUACCUUAAGAAGAGAAACAGCACUGCCAGAAGUUGAGAUAUUAGUUUACCGUAUGCAGUGAAACCAGCUGAACAUCUAUCCCUACUUCCUCAUUCAUUUGCCCUUUAAAGGAGAAAUCAGAAGUCAGUCCCAAAGGAAUGACUCAGGUUUCCAGUUGGAGCUGAAGGAUGCUACUUGUCCUAUAAAGGACUCCCCACUGCUACCAGCGCUCCCUGAUCCUGCCCUAAGGGCCAUCAAAAUCCCACUACUGUUUCUCACCUCUUCCUUCCAGCAAGCUGGGUCAGAGGCUGGUUAUGUGACCCCCAGCCCUCUCCUAAUUUUACUGGGAACAAGACAACACUUUUCCUCAGCAGAAGGAGACAAUGAGUAGUGGUGAGAGCCAGAGCUGCACCUCCUUCACCUCCACCAGGUCCCCCUGUAGCACCUCAUUUCUUUAGGGACAAACUGGCUGGCAUUUGCAGCUUUUUAACACCAAGCUCCAUUCCUUCUAGCACAAUAUGUAUAAAUUUAGUCUAAAGCAAACUUUUUCAGUGUUUGAAAGAGAAAGAAUACUCCAACCUCUUCCCUUGGGAAUUUAAGUAACAAGUUUGUCAGGUUUCUCAGUCCUAUAGUACUACUCAGCGACAAUGCAUACAGCUACAACCUUGCCUUACAUAGUUCAUCUGCUAUGUUACAUGUAAAGAUAGCUUUUUAGACUAACACCCACGGAAAUGUCAUGUUAAGUUCGGCAUAUUAUGUGUUUUAAAAGGACCGUGUCAGUCAUGCUGUAUUUCUUUUUCCUUUCAAAAUUUAAACGUUCAGUUGGAUAGAGGCUUGUCAAUUUCAUUCCUCUAGUGAUGUCUUAAAAUAGUGAGCUUUUCUUCUUCUUCUGAAAAAAAAAUAAUAAUAAUCAAGCCAUUAUGAAUAAUCAGACUUUUCGCAGUGAUGAAAAGACCUCCCUCUCUUUGUGUUCUUGGUAGAUGCAGAACUUGAGAGAGGUUCACCUUUGGAUUUUUGCUCUGCUCUGGCUAGAGCAGCUGUAAACACUGACUCAUUUCUUCCAACCUCCCCAAGCUGGAGACAAAGAAAAAAAAGAAUGCCCUUAAAUGUUCAUUGGCACUAGAAGAAAUACCCACUUGCCAGAGCACUCAUAGCCACUCCAGAAGUCACUGAGGGGAAUCUCUGCCACUCCUCUUCUAAAAUUGAAAUCCCCUCAGCACAUGGACAAAGGGUGGGAACAGUUGCCCAGGUUUUGGGAAACUAGUUACAUAUCCUUUCCCAUUUUCACUCACAGCAUUGCUUGCAUUGCCUGCCCCCUUCCACCGGAGAUGAGGACCUUGUGUCACCUUUGCCAUUGUGAAGGCUGCACAGGAUCAUACCUCACAAGUCUCAGAGAAUCACAGCGUUUUUUGAGGAAGACUGAAGUGAUGCCUGCUUCUCAGGGGCUUUCAUCAUAGAAUCAUGGCUUGGGUUGAAAGGACCCCAAAGACAAUCUAUUUCCAACCCCUGCCGCGGGCAGGGCUGCCCUCCACCAGCUCAGGCUGCCCAGGGCCCCAUCCAACCUG
ensembl:lncRNA